UACAGGGGGUGCAAACGUUGCUCGGAAUCAUUGGGCGUAAAGCGCACGUAGGCGGUUCGUUAUGUCGGAUGUGAAAGCCCUUGGCUUAACCGAGGAAGUGCAUCCGAAACUGGCGAGCUAGAGUACGAAAGAGGAUCGCGGAAUUCCCGGUGUAGAGGUGAAAUUCGUAGAUAUCGGGAGGAACACCGGUGGCGAAGGCGGCGAUCUGGGUCGAUACUGACGCUGAGGUGCGAAAGCGUGGGGAGCAACAGG
rnacentral:rRNA from 1 species